rnacentral:rRNA from 1 species
GACGAACGCUGGCGGCGUGCUUAACACAUGCAAGUCGAACGGAAAGGCCCUGCUUUUGUGGGGUGCUCGAGUGGCGAACGGGUGAGUAACACGUGAGUAACCUGCCCUUGACUUUGGGAUAACUUCAGGAAACUGGGGCUAAUACCGGAUAGGAGCUCCUGCUGCAUGGUGGGGGUUGGAAAGUUUCGGCGGUUGGGGAUGGACUCGCGGCUUAUCAGCUUGUUGGUGGGGUAGUGGCUUACCAAGGCUUUGACGGGUAGCCGGCCUGAGAGGGUGACCGGCCACAUUGGGACUGAGAUACGGCCCAGACUCCUACGGGAGGCAGCAGUGGGGAAUAUUGCACAAUGGGCGGAAGCCUGAUGCAGCAACGCCGCGUGCGGGAUGACGGCCUUCGGGUUGUAAACCGCUUUCGCCUGUGACGAAGCGUGAGUGACGGUAAUGGGUAAAGAAGCACCGGCUAACUACGUGCCAGCAGCCGCGGUGAUACGUAGGGUGCGAGCGUUGUCCGGAUUUAUUGGGCGUAAAGGGCUCGUAGGUGGUUGAUCGCGUCGGAAGUGUAAUCUUGGGGCUUAACCCUGAGCGUGCUUUCGAUACGGGUUGACUUGAGGAAGGUAGGGGAGAAUGGAAUUCCUGGUGGAGCGGUGGAAUGCGCAGAUAUCAGGAGGAACACCAGUGGCGAAGGCGGUUCUCUGGGCCUUUCCUGACGCUGAGGAGCGAAAGCGUGGGGAGCGAACAGGCUUAGAUACCCUGGUAGUCCACGCUGUAAACGGUGGGUACUAGGUGCGGGGUCCAUUCCACGGGUUCCGUGCCGUAGCUAACGCUUUAAGUACCCCGCCUGGGGAGUACGGCCGCAAGGCUAAAACUCAAAGGAAUUGACGGGGCCCCGCACAAGCGGCGGAGCAUGCGGAUUAAUUCGAUGCAACGCGUAGAACCUUACCUGGGUUUGACAUGGAUCGGGAGUGCUCAGAGAUGGGUGUGCCUCUUUUGGGGUCGGUUCACAGGUGGUGCAUGGCUGUCGUCAGCCCGUGUCGUGAGAUGUUGGGUUAAGUCCCGCAACGAGCGCAACCCUUGUUCACUGUUGCCAGCACGUUAUGGUGGGGACUCAGUGGAGACCGCCGGGGUCAACUCGGAGGAAGGUGGGGAUGACGUCAAGUCAUCAUGCCCCUUAUGUCCAGGGCUUCACGCAUGCUACAAUGGCUGGUACAGAGAGUGGCGAGCCUGUGAGGGUGAGCGAAUCUCGGAAAGCCGGUCUCAGUUCGGAUUGGGGUCUGCAACUCGACCUCAUGAAGUCGGAGUCGCUAGUAAUCGCAGAUCAGCAACGCUGCGGUGAAAACGUUCCCGGGGCU